rnacentral:rRNA from 1 species
UACGUAGGGCGCAAGCGUUGUCCGGAAUUAUUGGGCGUAAAGAGCUCGUAGGCGGUUUGUCGCGUCUGUCGUGAAAGCCCACGGCUUAACCGUGGGUCUGCGGUGGAUACGGGCAGGCUAGAGGCAGGUAGGGGAGAAUGGAAUUCCCGGUGUAGCGGUGAAAUGCGCAGAUAUCGGGAGGAACACCGGUGGCGAAGGCGGUUCUCUGGGCCGAUACUGACGCUGAGGAGCGAAAGCGUGGGGAGCGAACAGG